rnacentral:tRNA from 1 species
CGGGCUGUAGCUCAGUUGGUAGAGUGCACGGUUCGGGACCGUGAGGUCGCGGGUUCGAGCCCCGCCAGCCCGA